UACGAAGGUGGCAAGCGUUACCCGGAUUAAUUGGGCGUAAAGGGUCCGUAGGCAGUUCAAAAAGUUCUUGGUCAAAUCUUGAGGCUCAACUUCAAGACUGCUGAGAAUACUAUUGAACUAGAGGCUGGGAGAGGCAAGCGGAAUUGCCGGUGUAGUAGUAAAAUGCGUUGAUAUCGGCAGGAACACCAAAAGCGAAGGCAGCUUGCUAGAACAGUCCUGACGCUCAUGGACGAAAGCGUGGGUAGCGAAUGGG
rnacentral:rRNA from 1 species